CAAUAGCGUAUAUUAAAGUUGUUGCAGUUAAAAAGCUCGUAGUUGAAUUUCUGGCGGGCGCGCCGGUCUUCCAAGUGUUGUACUGGGCGCAGUCCGCCAUCCUUGUGGAGAGGGCUCGCAUUGAGUUGCGUGUCGGAUCUGCAUCAUUUACUGUGAAAAAAUUAGAGUGUUUAAAGCAGGCUGUCGCUUGAAUACAUUAGCAUGGAAUAAUAAGAUAGGACUUCGGUCUAUUUUGUUGGUUGCGAACCGAGGUAAUGAUUAAUAGGGAUAGUUGGGGGUAUUCAUAUUUAAUUGUCAGAGGUGAAAUUCUUGGAUUUAUGAAAGAUGAACAACUGCGAAAGCAUUUACCAAGGAUGUUUUCAUUGA
rnacentral:rRNA from 1 species